AAGGCUUGACAUACAUCGGAAAGCAUCAGAGAUGGUGCCCCCCCUUGUGGUCGGUGUACAGGUGGUGCAUGGCUGUCGUCAGCUCGUGUCGUGAGAUGUUGGGUUAAGUCCCGCAACGAGCGCAACCCUUAUUCUGUGUUGCCAGCAACCUCUUCGGAGGGUUGGGGACUCACAGGAGACUGCCGGGGUCAACUCGGAGGAAGGUGGGGAUGACGUCUGGAAUGUC
rnacentral:misc_RNA from 1 species